AUUGAACGCUGGCGGCAUGCUUUACACAUGCAAGUCGAACGGCAGCGCGGGGCAACCUGGCGGCGAGUGGCGAACGGGUGAGUAAUACAUCGGAACGUACCCAGAAGUGGGGGAUAACGUAGCGAAAGUAACGCUAAUACCGCAUACGUUCUACGGAAGAAAGUGGGGGAUCUUCGGACCUCAUGCUUUUGGAGCGGCCGAUGUCUGAUUAGCUAGUUGGUGAGGUAAAGGCUCACCAAGGCGACGAUCAGUAGCUGGUCUGAGAGGACGACCAGCCACACUGGGACUGAGACACGGCCCAGACUCCUACGGGAGGCAGCAGUGGGGAAUUUUGGACAAUGGGCGCAAGCCUGAUCCAGCAAUGCCGCGUGAGUGAAGAAGGCCUUCGGGUUGUAAAGCUCUUUUGUCAGGGAAGAAACGGCCGAGGCGAAUACCUUCGGCUAAUGACGGUACCUGAAGAAUAAGCACCGGCUAACUACGUGCCAGCCGCCGCGGUAA
rnacentral:rRNA from 1 species